GGUGAGUAACACGUGGGCAACCUACCUUAUAGUUUGGGAUAACUCCGGGAAACCGGGGCUAAUACCGAAUAAUCUGUUUCACCUCAUGGUGAAACACUGAAAGACGGUUUCGGCUGUCGCUAUAGGAUGGGCCCGCGGCGCAUUAGCUAGUUGGUGAGGUAACGGCUCACCAAGGCGACGAUGCGUAGCCGACCUGAGAGGGUGAUCGGCCACACUGGGACUGAGACACGGCCCAGACUCCUACGGGA
rnacentral:rRNA from 1 species